rnacentral:lncRNA from 1 species
CGCUUGACUGGGGCGCAGGUAACUUGUAGCAGCGAAGGUUGGGCGCUGUAGCCCGUGGAGUCCACCGCGAGCGGCCGGGGCUGCCAGAGUCCUUGCGCCAGCAGGAUGUCCCUUGCUGCAAGCUACUGUGUUAUCUGCUGCAGAAGGAUAGGAACCUUUGUUCCCCGAUCAAAAAGUCACACAUCCUGGAGAAAUAUCCGGGUUCUUUAUUUAUUACAUACCAAGUACUGGCCCUGAAAAAGUCUUUAACAUUGGAUACUCAGGUGGUUGAAAGAGAAAAAAUGAAGUCUUACAUCUAUGUGCACAAAGCUCUCGUGGACAGUUUAGACAACCAUGGGAUUGUUUGGCAGGCAAGAAAAGAACUUCACAGAGCAGUAAGGAAAGUG